rnacentral:rRNA from 1 species
AGUGAACGCUGGCGGCAGGCCUAAUACAUGCAAGUCGAACGGCAGCACAGUGGAGCUUGCUCCAUGGUGGCGAGUGGCGGACGGGGUGAGGAAUACAUGGGAAUCUGCCCAGUCGUGGGGGAUAACGUAUGGAAACGUACGCUAAUACCGCAUGCGCCCUUCGGGGAAAGGUCGGGGACCGGCAAGGCCUGACGCGAUUGGAUGAGCCCAUGUUCGAUUAGCUAGUUGGCGGGGUAACGGCCCGACCAAGGCGACGAUCGAUAGCUGGUCUGAGAGGAGUGAUCAGCCACACUGGAACUGAGACACGGUCCAGACUCCUACGGGAGGCAGCAGUAGGGAAUAUUGGACAAUGGGGGCGAACCCUGAUCCAGCCAUGCCGCGUGAGUGAAGAAGGCCCU